AAACAUUUUCUGAAAAUGUCCUUACCAAACGCGUUUUCUCCUGUUUUCUCUGUUUUUAAAAACAGAAAACUGUUUUUGAAAACUAUACCAAACAGGACCUAAAUUUCCAGGAUUGUCUUCAAUAUCAUUGACCUAACCAGCAAAAUGGGAAUCAAAAUUUAAGUGUUAAUAUUCAAACUGCUGGCACCAUUUUCUGGUAUAUCCGGAUAGAUAGAUGCUCCAGAUUUUUUGACAAUAUUUAACCAAAUUCUCAAGACACUAUUACACUUGUAAAGACCCUCAAGCUCGUCAAUGCUAUUUGACUGGUUUCGCGAUAGUCAAGAGACGUUUUAGCCGCUAAUAACUCGAUUAGUUUAACACGAACGUUAAUUAAUAGAAAUUAAUCUAACAAUAAUAUAGAUACGAAUCUAGUAUCAUUAGAUAGAUAUCGGAAAGUUAUGUGAGAUGGACUACUCGAACGUGUCAUUCGGAUAUCGGACGAAGAAGAUAUCAUUGGAUUAGUUUGAAGGGCAAAAUUGUCUUUUCACAAAUAGACCGACCUGGAGUUCCCUUAGCAAAGAGAGUGGCUGCAAUAGUGUUAUCCUUGAUCUUAUCUUCACCCAAUCGAGAAGAUAAGUAACCUUCUUUCUUAUUUUCUUUCUUAUUCUCAUUCUUCUCUUCUCUUCUUCUUUCUUCUUCUUUUCUUUCCUUCUUCUCUGUUUCUCGGCGACUGUUUAAUCUGAGAGUUGAUAUUAGGUUUCUGAGAUCGAAAUAAGGUGAGACUGAGUAUGAAUCAAGUGAUGGCGGUGUUGUUGUUUCUGGUUGAUCUUAGGAGGAAGUUGAACCGAGAAAUUACUGAGUUAGGGUUCUGUGAGUUGAAGAUGAACUGAUUCAAUUGAAUAAGAAGAUAUUAAGGUAUGGGUUUCAAUGAGUCUGAUGUGAAAUGGAAGAUUAGGGGUUUGAUUUCGAAGAAGAGAAGUUGUUCGACAGAUUUAGGAAUUAUAGUUUGUUAUAAUUUCUGAAGAAGAUUUGGAAGUUGAAAUUCAAGGAUUAAGAGAUUAAUUGAAGGUGGGUUUGAUGUGAAUUAAGAGUUAAGAUUGAAUAAUAACUUUAAGUUCGAUAGUUAGGAUUUUGUAUUUGAAGCUCAGAUGGAGGAUUGAAUCUACUAGUGAAGUUGGGUUCUGAAUCGUAUUUAUAAGAAGAAGAAGAAGAAGAAGAAGAAGAUGAUGAUGAAGUUAUUAUGAGUCUUGAACUGGUUGGUGCUUGAGCAAAGCUUAUCUGAGGUAAUUGAUCUUCUCUGUAGAUUUAGUAAAGUUGUUAUUUGAGUUUUGGAGAUUGUUCUUGAGGUAGGAUUGAAAUGGUUAUGUGUACCUGCAAUGGAAUUGUAAUUGUAGGUUAGGUUAAUGUUCAUCCACAUGGAGCUAGUUUAUUUUGUGCCAAUGUAUGAAAUGUGAAUAUAUAUGGUGGUGUUAUGGAUUGGUUUAGAGGAAUGAAUGAGGAUGAUGUUUUUGUAGCUAUUAGAGUUUGUCAAUAGUGAUGGAAGUAAGUAUACUAGUGGGUUGGUAUUGUUGUGGAUUAAAGGGAGGAGAAAUAAGAUGUUAAUCUGGAGACUUAAGUGGAUUUGUUAGUGAAAGGAUGAUUUGUGUUUGAUGGAUUUACAUAUGGAAUUAAAGUUAGUCUGGUUGUGAAUUGAUGUUCAGAAGGGUGUGUUGUUUGUGCAAUUGAAAUUACAGAAUUUGAGUUGGAAGUGGUAAGAGAUUUGAGAUUGAAUCAAUUAUGUGUGUAUGUGUUAGUAUAAAUUAUUGGUGGAGGUCUGGGAAAGGUAGGUGAUGGUGAUGAUAGAUUGUGUGUAUCAAUUUCUGGUGAUGUUGUAAAUUGAGAUGAUUUGGUUCAGGAAGUUGAAAUGUCUUGGAGUUGGAAUUGUAGUUGGUGGUGUAGGCUUGUAACUGUUGGAUACAGAAUAUUGGUUGAGGUUUGGAAUUGUGUUGUGUGUUACAGUGGUGCAGAUGGUGUUGUUUCAUGGAAUUUAGAUUUUGCUGAUAUAAUCUUGAUGAUGUGUUGAGUGUUGUUGCUAUUGGAUUGUACUUAGGCCUGGGUAGUUGCGGUUCUGAGAUAUGGUGGUGUUGUUUGUAUGAUUAAGAUAAAAUUGAAAAGUGAUCUUAGGCCUGAGAUGUGAAUCAAGUAUUAUUGAUGUAAAGAUUAUCUUGUAGCUUCAUGGAGGCUUGCAGCUACUGCAAUUGCAGUUAGUCUAUAUUAACAAUGAUCGAUUCAAAGGACGAACCAGUGGAUCGUGGAUCUCGAGGUAGGCGUGGCUUGUCGUCAAAAGAGGGACAGAUCAGAGUUGCGCAAUGGAUGCUUCGAAGAGUUGAGUCUGUUAGUUGGUUGACUUCAGUUAUGUUUACUAUGUUAUAUGUUCUAUUUAUAUUUAUAAACCAAAUGACUAUUGUAUAUAUAUUAUUUGAGAAAAGUUCUGUAUAUAUAUAUUUCAGAGUGGGGCUAGUUUAUGGGUUAAGUUUUGUAGCAGAUUUCUUAAUGGAACGUUUAAGUAUUUGAUUUAGAUUUGUAGUGCCUCUUUGUUUAGUUAAUCUCUUGCAUUAGUCAGCUACUAGCUUAGAGGGCGCUACAACACUGGUCAUGAACCAUCAAUCUGCUUGGUUAAAUAGUAUAUAGAUUAUCUUUGAAUAGAUAGGUAUUGGAUAGUAAUACUAUUAAGUGUCAGGAAAAACCACCUAACCAAUUUAUGAAAAUAAAUUUUAUGCCUUGUUUCAUGAAAUUACUAAAAAUGCAGUAGUGGGGAUAAUGUUGAGAAACUGUGCAGGUACAGGAACGGAGAUAGAUCAGUAUUAGUAAAGGUUGCAGAUGGUUAACAAGCUAAGGUGCUAGUUCUUUUGGAAGCUGUGCUUUGGGAGGGAAGUAAAGGGAUUAAAAUGAUUCAGUUGGAAGGCGACUAACAAAAUGUGAUUUCAGCAGUAAAUUGAUGUCUAACUACUGUUAAAUGGACUACUUCUAAUGUAAUAGAAGAUAUCUUAAGACUUGUAGUUAA